AUACGGAGGGAGCAAGCGUUGUUCGGAAUCACUGGGCGUAAAGCGAGUGUAGGUUGUCAGGUAAGUAGGAUGUGAAAGCCCGGGGCUCAACCCCGGAAUUGCAUUCUAAACUGCCUGGCUAGAGUCCCGGAGAGGGAGGUGGAAUUCCGAGUGUAGAGGUGAAAUUCGUAGAUAUUCGGAGGAACACCAGAGGCGAAGGCGACCUCCUGGACGGUGACUGACACUGAGACUCGAAAGCGUGGGGAGCAAACAGGAUUAGAUACCCUAGUAGUCC
rnacentral:rRNA from 1 species